rnacentral:tRNA from 1 species
AGUCCUGUAGUGUAGAUAGGUCAAGCACAUGGGUCUUUGGAACCUAGAACCUCAGUUCGAAUCUGGGCAGGACUA